GAUGAACGCUGGCGGCGUGCCUAAUACAUGCAAGUCGAGCGAAUGGAUUAAGAGCUUGCUCUUAUGAAGUUAGCGGCGGACGGGUGAGUAACACGUGGGUAACCUGCCCAUAAGACUGGGAUAACUCCGGGAAACCGGGGCUAAUACCGGAUAACAUUUUGAACCGCAUGGAUCGAAAUUGAAAGGCGGCUUCGGCUGUCACUUAUGGAUGGACCCGGGUCGCAUUAGCUAGUUGGUGAGGUAACGGCUCACAAAGGCAACGAUGCGUAGCCGAACUGAGAGGGUGAUCGGCCACACGGGGACUGAGACACGGCCCAGACGCCUACGGGAGGCAGCAGUAGGGAAUCUUCCGCAAUGGACGAAAGUCUGACGGAGCAACGCCGCGUGGGUGAUGAAGGCUUUCGGGUCGUAAAACUCUGUUGUUAGGGAAGAACAAGUGCUAGUUGAAUAAGCUGGCACCUUGACGGUACCUAACCAGAAAGCCGCGGCUAACUACGUGCCAGCAGCCGCGGUAA
rnacentral:rRNA from 1 species